rnacentral:rRNA from 1 species
GUAGCGAAAUUCCUUGUCGGGUAAAUUCCGACCUGCACGAAUGGCGUAAUGAUCUCUCGACUGUCGUAACAACUAGCCCGGCGAAUUUGUGGUUCCGGUGAAGACGCCGGAUGCCCGCCACUAGACGAAAAGACCCCGUGCACCUUUACUAUACUCUAUCAGUGAAUUAUGGGAUGUUCUGCGCAGGAUAGGUGGGAGGCUUUGAGACCGGACUCUUGGGUUCGGUGGAGCCAACGGUGAGAUACCACCCUGAGCAUUCUGUGAUUCUAACCUACCUCCCUGACCGGGAGGAGGGACACUGGUAGACGGGUAGUUUGACUGGGGCGGUCG